UACGGAGGGGGCUAGCGUUGUUCGGAAUUACUGGGCGUAAAGCGCACGUAGGCGGCUUUGUAAGUUAGAGGUGAAAGCCCAGGGCUCAACCCUGGAACUGCCUUUAAGACUGCAUCGCUUGAACAUCGGAGAGGUAAGUGGAAUUCCGAGUGUAGAGGUGAAAUUCGUAGAUAUUCGGAAGAACACCAGUGGCGAAGGCGGCUUUCUGGGCCUUACCUGACGCUGAGACGCGAAAGCGUGGGGAGCGAACCGG
rnacentral:rRNA from 1 species